rnacentral:rRNA from 1 species
AUUGAACGCUGGCGGCAUGCCUUACACAUGCAAGUCGAACGGCAGCACGGGGGCAACCCUGGUGGCGAGUGGCGAACGGGUGAGUAAUGCAUCGGAACGUGCCCAGUAGUGGGGGAUAACUAGUCGAAAGAUUAGCUAAUACCGCAUACGACCUACGGGUGAAAGCGGGGGAUGCAGCACUUAAUGUUUUGGGAUGGCUACUUGUGGCCGCCUCGGGACAGUCUCAGGUGAGAACAUUAAGUGCUGCACCUCGCGCUAGUGGAGCGGCCGAUGUCUGAUUAGCUAGUUGGCGGGUAAANCCCACAAGGCGACGAUCAGUAGCUGGUCUGAGAGGACGACCAGCCACACUGGGACUGA